GUCUAGAAGCUUCGGCAAUGGGCGAAAGCCUGACCGAGCGACGCCGCGUGUGGGAUGAAGCAUCUUGGUGUGUAAACCACUUUCGACGGGGAAGAAGGCCUUGAUGGCGAAUCAGGGAUUGACGGUACCCGGAGAAGAAGCACCGGCUAACUCCGUGCCAGCAGCCGCGGUAAUACGGGGGGUGCGAGCGUUAUUCGGAUUUAUUGGGCGUAAAGGGCGCGUAGGCGGCCGUGUAAGUCUGGUGUGAAAACGCUACCGCUCAACGGAGCGAAUGCGCUGGAUACUGCAUGGCUUGAGUGCAAGAGAGGUAAGCGGAAUACCUGGUGUAGCGGUGGAAUGCGUAGAUAUCAGGUGGAAUACCGGUGGCGAAGGCGGCUUACUGGCUUGCAACUGACGCUGAGGCGCGAAAGCGUGGGGAGCAAACGGGAUUAGAAACCCGAGUAGUCC
rnacentral:rRNA from 1 species